rnacentral:rRNA from 1 species
GACGAACGCUGGCGGCGUGCCUAAUACAUGCAAGUAGAACGCUGAAGGUGGAGCUUGCUCUUCUGGAUGAGUUGCGAACGGGUGAGUAACGCGUAGGUAACCUGCCUGGUAGCGGGGGAUAACUAUUGGAAACGAUAGCUAAUACCGCAUAACAGUAGAUGUUGCAUGACAUUUACUUAAAAGUUGCAAUUGCAUCACUACCAGAUGGACCUGCGUUGUAUUAGCUAGUUGGUGGGGUAACGGCUCACCAAGGCGACGAUACAUAGCCGACCUGAGAGGGGGAUCGGCCACACUGGGACUGAGACACGGCACAGACUCCUACGGGAGGCAGCAGUAGGGAAUCUUCGGCAAUAGACGGAAGUCUGACCGAGCAACGCCGCGGGAGUGAAGAAGGUUUUCGGAUCGUAAAGCUCGGUUGUAAGAGAAGAACGAGUGUGAGAGUGGAAAGUUCACACUGUGACGGUAGCUUACCAGAAAGGGACGGCUAACUACGUG